UCUUAAGUCACGUGAAUCUUCGUCACAGUAGGAGCUGCCUCUUGCGGAAGUCCGCCAUUUUGUCUGCAGCUGUGUUUCGUCUGUCUGCCGUUGUUGUGUAAAUUAUCAGUUUUCCACCGCCAAAAUGGCGAAACUGUAUGUAUUUAGAGAAUUCAUCGGUGAGAUAUUAUCAACGGCAGCUUUAGAGAUUUUCGGAGUGGUUGAAAAAACGCUUAUCGAGUACAACGAAGAAGUCUCUCGUUCCGAGGAGGAGAGAAAGCGGCUACAUCGGCUGUUGAACGUUGUUACUCAACCCAAUAUUGCAGCUCCUCUGUCCCCAGAAGUGCAGCAGCUCUCUCUCCCGGAGCCCCCACAGAUUAAAGAGGAACAGGAGCUGUGGACCAGUCAGGAGGAGGAGCAGCUUCAAGGACUGCAGUCUGAAACUACAGACUUCAUACACACCAGGCAGCCAGAGUUUUCAAAUUUGAUAAUGUCCAAAUUACAUAUGAUAAGAGAAUUCUUCAGUGAACGACUAACAACGGCAGCUUCAGAGAUUUUGGGGGCCGUUGAAAUAACAUUUACUGAGUACAAAGAAGAGAUCUCUCAUUUCAAGGAGGAGAGCGUGCGGAUACAACGGCUGUUUGACAUUGUUGCUCAACCUGAGAUCAAGCUACACCGAACAGAUGUGCAGCAGCUCUCUCUCCCGGAGCCCCCACAGAUUAAAAAGAAACAGGAGCUGUGGACCAGUCAGGAGGAAGAGCAGCUCCAAGGACUGCAGUCUGAAACUACAGGCUCCAUCUUCACUUCUCUCAGUGUGAAACGUGAUUCUGCUCUGGAGAGCUCCUUUGAAUGUUCACAUGUUGACCAGACUGUUAAAGUGGAGGACAGAGAAGGAGAUUCUCUACCCACCAACACAACUGAGGAGCAAAUCAAAGCAGAGCCUCCUGUACAAGACUCUGCAGCACUAGAACCAGGCAGUGACUCUCAGCCCCUCUCUGUUGUAUUUCCAGACUGUCCUGCAGCUCAGAGUUUGGAGGAACAUGGAGGAGUGCUGCCCUUGCGAGAGACAAUCAAUUCAACAAUAACACAAGUACAUUCAGCUGUGCCAGGGGGAAAAUUGCCACAGGCAAGUCCCACAGGAGUGAAAGUACAUCAGUGUCAAGAAUGUAGUAAACUCUUUUCUCAAAGUGGUACACUGGCUAGACAUAUGAGGACUCACACAAGAGAGAAAUUGUAUCCAUGUCAGGAAUGUAAGAAAGCCUUUACUUCCAAACUGCAACUGGUGGAACACAUAAGAACACACACUGGAGAGAAACCUUACCAGUGUCAAGAAUGUAAAAAAUGCUUUACUCAAAAUGGUAGUCUGGUUAAACAUAUGAGGACACACUCAGGAGAGAAAUCUUAUAAAUGUCAUUAUUGCGAGAACAGAUUUAGCCGGAAGGAUCAUAUGGUUGAACACAUGAGGAAACACACAGGAGAAAAACCUUACCAGUGUCAGGAAUGUAAACAAUUCUUUGCUCAACAUGGUAGUCUGGUUAAACACAGAAGGACACACACAGGAGAGAAACCAUAUCCGUGUCAACAAUGUAAUAGGAGAUUUAGCCAGAAAUCCACUCUUGGGAAACACAUGAGUAUACACAGGAGCUCACCCAGAUCAGGGACUGGAGUGCAGUAACAGCUAUAGUUACAAGUCAAAUCUUAUUGGUCAUAUGUGAAAACUAAACUAGGGUUGGUGUCAACGACGUGUAAAACAUGUUCCUCAUUCGGGUAGUUUUGGCGAUGACACACAUAGAGAUGAAACUGUCAAAUCUUGUUAAAGUUUGACUUAGUUUCAAAAAUGAAACCAAAUUCAGGCAGCAUUGAACAGAUCCCAGGCACUGUUUGGGACUUCAGCGAUAAUUGAAUUUGGAGUCGGACUGAAACUGGAGUUAGCGCCCGUAAACGCCAUUCGCUUUUCAAUUAACCUGUCAACAUUAUCACAAAUGUAACCAGCACAGCGACAAUAUGCAUUUGUGUAUACAUUUAAUUUAUUAUGUUUAUUAUUUGGGCUAAUUUGUGUCAAAUAAAUAAACUGUUCUGAACCUGA